rnacentral:lncRNA from 1 species
CUUAAAUUGUGAGCCAUUGGAUCACAGUCCAAAUGGACAACUGAGAUGUAUUCUUAGGUGUAGUAGAAUUGUGCCAAGUGUAGCUAUCUCAUAGGGUAGUUAAUCAUUGGUUAGAUUGGAUGAUGUAAGAAGGAAUAUUCUGUUUUCCUAACUGUUAUAUUGGCAUGCACAGAUUGUGAAUGACUGUGACAGAUAAUAGACUGAUCUUUCAUCUUCUUCUUCUCCAAGUUUUCUCUCUGCAUUUUUACUUCCUACAUGAGCUCCAUCCAUCAAUAAUCCAAAACUAAACAUGGCAGAUCAU